rnacentral:lncRNA from 1 species
AGUUGACUCCGGGGUUCGUAUAGGCAGGGAGCACAGGCGUAAGGCUGAGAUCGGCUUCCCUAGAGCCUUUCAAACUGGAUGGACCUGCACUUGUUGCUUAAAUGUCUUGAGGCCUGUGUUUCCACAUCUGGGAAAUGGGGAAAUUGUGGUGUUUGCUGUGAAGCUUCCUCAUUGGCUGAUGAACUCAUCUGGUGUUCCUAAGACCAACACCUUCAGUCCCAUUUCACAAAGUCCAAAUCACAAAGGAGGAAACUAUUUAUUUGAUGAAUGCUGUAUUGAAGAGACUGGGAUCACUGUCUGGAACCACAGGCCGCCCUCUGAAGGCUGGAGAGGUGGUGACAGCUGAACAAAUGAUGGCGCUACGAGUCCAUGGGUUAGGUUACCUGGGCAUGGGAAUCCCCAUAUAGCCAAUGCCUUCUCGGGUAUUAAGUGUCAGAUAAACACAGCUCCUCAACUGCUA